rnacentral:rRNA from 1 species
UACGUAGGCAGCGAGCGUUGUUCGGAGUUACUGGGCGUAAAGGGUGUGUAGGCGGUUGUUUAAGUUUGGUGUGAAAUCUCCCGGCUCAACUGGGAGGGUGCGCCGAAUACUGAAUGACUUCGAGUGCGGGAGAGGAGAGUGGAAUUCCUGGUGUAGCGGUGAAAUGCGUGGAUAUCGUAAGGAAGACCAGUGGCGAAGGCGGGUCUCUGGACAGUUCCUGACGCUGAGGCACGAAGGUCAGGGGAGCAAACGGG